GCUGCUUUAUUGACUGUACCGAUCCAAUAAUUAAUGUUGUUGGAUGAAAGUUAGGUAGAAUACUGGUGAUGAGCAUUAAUUCAAACCUUUUGAAAUUGUUUAUGAACUCUGUUGAUAGUCUUAAUGUUCAAAGGAGGAAACAAGAAGAGAUAGAAUUGAAUUCAAGAUUUAUCGAAAAUAUCUUCUUUAUUUUUACAAUAGAAAGAGAUGGAAUUCGAAAGAGACAAAUCGAAGUUAAGAAGCAUAAAGAAAGUUGCAAUAAUGGAGAAGAUGAAAUCAGUAGAAGAUAUUUUGAAUAUGUGGAUGGAAUCCCCAGUAGCCAUUAUCAUUUCAAUUGGGUUGAUUGUUAUUUUGUUGUCCUUAAUUUGUCGUUGCUGCUGUAGAGGGAAUUAUAGAAGAAAUGUGCAGAAGAUGAAAUCUCAACGCCGCAGGAAAUAUAAUUGAAGGCAUGUAAUGUAAUAUAUCUUUGACAACAAUCCCAAAUUUCUGUAAUUCUUCUCUUUUUGAAUUUGAAGUUUGGAGGGUAUCCCACACGGGCUUUUAUAUCAAAAAUAGAUGUUAUUAUACCUAUGAUCGAAAUAGAAAUUGAGUAUUUCCUAGUUAAUAAAUGCCGAAUUUCAUCUA